rnacentral:rRNA from 1 species
UUAUCCGGAUUUAUUGGGUUUAAAGGGAGCGUAGGCGGGUGCUUAAGUCAGUUGUGAAAGUUUGCGGCUCAACCGUAAAAUUGCAGUUGAUACUGGGCGCCUUGAGUGCAGCAUAGGUAGGCGGAAUUCGUGGUGUAGCGGUGAAAUGCUUAGAUAUCACGAAGAACUCCGAUUGCGAAGGCAGCUUACUGGACUGUAACUGACGCUGAUGCUCGAAAGUGUGGGUAUCAAACAGGAUUAGAUACCCUGGUAGUCCACACAGUAAACGAUGAAUACUCGCUGUUGGCGAUACACAGUCAGCGGCCAAGCGAAAGCAUUAAGUAUUCCACCUGGGGAGUACGCCGGCAACGGUGAAACUCAAAGGAAUUGACGGGGGCCCGCACAAGCGGAGGAACAUGUGAUUUAAUUCGAUGAUACGCGAGGAACCUUACCCGGGCUUAAAUUGCAGCGGAAUGUAGUGGAAACAUUACAGCCUUCGGGCCGCUGUGAAGGUGCUGCAUGGUUGUCGUCAGCUCGUGCCGUGAGGUGUCGGCUUAAGUGCCAUAACGAGCGCACCCUUAUCUAUAGUUACUAUCAGGUAUGCUGAGGACUCUAUGGAAACUGCCGUCGUAAAAUGU